CAUACACACUGUCUGCCAUCAGUUGAAACCGGGAUUCAUCCGUGAAGAGCACACUUCUCCAACAUACCAGUGGCCGUCUGUUACAACGCCAAACUGCAGUCAGGUCAAGACCCUGGUGAGGAUAAUGAGCACUCCACAUAGCUCACAAAUAAAUCUACAAUUUGAACAACUGUAGAAAGAUUUGUGAGCAACUGUUCAGAAAUCCCUAACAUUUACAACUGUGGAAUGUGCAUUUGCACAUUCAAAAAGUGAUUGUGGAUCUGUUUUAGGUGCUUACAGAAUACAAAAAAUAAUCCUUCCUGUUGAUGUAUUGUCUCCAUUCAUUAGGGUAAUAUUUGUGUCAUUUGACAAGCAGAGUGAUGACAUCAUGGCUGUGUCCUUUUUGGGAGAACACCUUCUAGCUAGAAGAAGAAAGAACAACUUCAUGAAAUGACAAACAUGGCAAUUGAUGCUUUGGCAGGACAAAUCACUCUUUUCCAAUCGGUGUGGAGGGGAAGGAGUUAACAAGUCAUCAGGAACAGCAACUGUGUGCUACUGGCUUGAGUUCCAGCUGCACCAUUGAGAGCAUUUUGACUGGCUGCAUCACCGCUUGGUAUGGCAACUUCUCGGCAUAGGGUACUGUGCACGGCUCAGUUCAUACCUUGGACUGGGACCCAGUCACCCAGUCACCUCUAUACCAGUUGGUGUCAGAGGAUGGCCUUCAAAAUGAUCAAAGACUCCAGCCAUUUAAGUCAUAGACUGUUCUUUCACUUACCGCACAGCAAGUGGUACCGCAGCACAAAGUCUGGGACCCAAAGGCUCCUGAACAGCUUCUACUCCCAAGCCAUAAGACUGCUAAAUAGUUAGUUAAACAGUUAGUCUAGGUAGCUAUUUGGUUAUCUGCAUUGACCCAUUUUUUAUUCCUAGUUAUAUGUACAUCAGUGGAGGCUCCUCAGUGGAGUAACGGCAAGACCUCACGGAAUUUCUUAAAAUGUAAAUAGUGAAACAUUACAAAAGCUAUGCUUUUUAGAUAAAACUAUAGUAAAUACAUUCACAUCACCAAAUAAUUUAUUAAAACACACUGUUUUGCAAUGAAAGUCUACACUAGCCUAAACAGCACUCUGUACAAUAGCACCAUUGUGUGGCUGGAGAGACAGCUAGUUUAUGUCCUCCUCUGGCUACAUUGACUUCAAUACAAAACCUAGGAGGCUCAUGGUUCUCACCCCCUUCCAAGGACAUACACAGUCAUUUUAACAACUUCCGGAGGGCGAUGUCCAACCUAUCAGAGCUCUUGCAGCAUCAACUGACAAGCUGUCCACCCAAUCAAAGGAUCCGAGAAUGGAUCUAG